rnacentral:rRNA from 1 species
UACGUAGGGGGCAAGCGUUGUCCGGAUUUAUUGGGCGUAAAGAGCGUGUAGGCGGCCUGGAAGGUCAGCUGUGAAAACUCGAGGCUCAACCUCGAGACGUGGGUUGAAACCACCUGGCUAGAGUCCGGAAGAGGAGAGUGGAAUUCCCGGUGUAGCGGUGAAAUGCGCAGAUAUCGGGAAGAACACCCGUGGCGAAGGCGGCUCUCUGGGACGGUACUGACGCUGAGACGCGAAAGCGUGGGGAGCGAACAGG